CUACCAACAACAGAUGCUGGUGAGGAUGUGGGGAAAAAGGAACACUAACCCACUGUUGGUGGGAAUGCAAACUGGUCAAGCCACUAUGGAAGUCAGUCUGGAGAUUCCUCAGAAACCUGAAUAUAACCCUACCAUACAACCCAGCCAUUCCACUCCUUGGAAUUUACCCAAAGGAAAUUAAAUUGGCAAAUAAAAGACUUGUCUGCACCUCAAUGUUCAUUGCAGCUCAAUUCACAAUAGCUAAGACCUGGAAUCAACCUUAAAUGCCCAUCAACAGUAGAUUGGAUAAAGAAAUUAUGGGAUAUGUACUCUAUAGAACACUAUACAGCAGUAAAAAAAAACAAUGAAAUCCAGUCAUUUGCAACAAAGUGGAGGAAUCUGGAAAACAUCAUGCUGAGUGAAAUAAGCCAGUCCCAAAGGGACAAAUAUCAUAUGUUCUUUCUGAUCAGUGAUGACUAACCGAGCACCAAAAAGGAAACCUGUUGAAGUGAAAUGGACACUAUGAGAAACAAUGACAGCCCUUGAUCAGCCCUUGUGUUGACUGUUAAGGAACAACUUAAUACUUUAUCCCGUUUAAUAUUUUUUGUUUAUUUGUUUUGUUCUACUCAAUACUAUUGGUUGAACUCUUUAAUUAACACACAAUUACUCUUAGGUGGUGCUUUACUUUUGCUGCUGAGUAUGGUGCUCUGUGGGACUGGGGAAGGCGAAGGAAGCCCUUGGCUUCCCUGCACCAAGCCUGGCAGUUACUCAGACCCCAGCCGGCUUUCUAGGCUGAAGUAAAAGUCCGUGGGUAACUGUGGAAUUCCCUCUCAGCUAAAACUGUUAGUGCUGCAUUGUACCUGCCAGUUCUCAGCAGCUUAUGCUCAUAGACAUGGAUCAUGCCAGACCCAAAGAUCACCAUUUCUACUCAUUCUGGCGAUGUCAGCUAGUUCCUGGUGCUGCUCAGCACCCCCUCAGGAAAGGCUGGUGAGAACAGCAGCCCUUCCACACCCCUGGAUACUCAUUGUGAUUGUUGAACGGCUGCUCCUGGAGCAGCAGAAGGAGGAGUCUUCCUGGGCAGGGACUAUCACUUCCACUUCUGUGAGCUCUGGUCCUGAGAACCUAGCGACGACUGGAAAGGACAGCACAGCAAUGAGAACAGAUGUGAGUUCCAUCCCAGAACAUUAAAGCCCUGCAUUUUGGAGUACACUGCUUUGCAAUAAUCUAGUUUUCUCAGUAUGUCAAGAGCAUGUUUUCUUGCUUUUCUGGGCAUUCUAUCAUGACAACUUUCUAUGUGGCCCAAAUAAAAUUCUAAAUAGAAUGCUUUAGUUGCA
rnacentral:lncRNA from 1 species